GCUCCAGUGGCCUAGUGGUUAGAGCAUCCGCCUCUGAUGCGGGAGGUGGUGGGUUUGAUACCCGGUUGAGUCA